GUACAAAUAAAAUUAUGAUGUUAUGUUAUUUCCAUCAUAUUUUUAGCAAUCAAUGUCUACAUUGUGAGUUUUGAAACGUUGAAAUAUUCUGAGUGAUGUUUAGAUAAAAAUAUGGAGAUGGAUAUCAUAUUUUUUACUGUGUAAUGUUUAAAAAUUGGAAAAGACAUUUAACUCUAACUAAACUAUAAUGGCACUUCAGAUCCUUUUAGGAGAUAAAAUAUGUUAUAUCAAGUUGGAGGAGAUAUUUUUCAUUUUCAACAUAAUUUUAGUUGAGUGUUUCAUUUCUUUAUACAUCAAUAAAUAUUUAUUUGUAUGCCAAGGACUAAAAUUGCUACUUUGUUGGACGAAUCUGACGAGUUCAAUAAAGUAGUAUUUCAGCCGCGGCGUACACAACAGACGCAUAAGAUCCAUAACUUUUUCAAUUACACUCAGGAAAGAAAAUAAAUAAUAGAGAAUUAUAAACAUCGAGAAUGGUGACACCACUUCAUAAAGAGCCGCAUUGCUUUCUUAGGUGAGAUCAGAUGGCGUGGAUUCGAGUAACUCUUCAUCGCUGACGUUUUCUUUUUCAUCAUCAUUCAUCGUUAUUCAUUAAUUUAAAAAAACUUCGGAUAAAACAAAUAAUUUCAGAAAAUUAAAAAUUUAAGGUUAUGCAAAAUCAUCGAAGUGAAACUGUCAACUGUCAACAUUGAAGUGGCCAGAGUCACAUUUGAGGAAGUUAAAGUUGUUUACUCCAGAGCGUCCCGAAAGUGUUUUGCAGUACGGAACUGUCACUUUUACUACAUGGAACACUAAAAACGCAACUUUCGGUAUGUAAAUGAAUACAGAACAACGAACCACUUUCAGAUGGCGUCGUCUAAAAAAGUUAUUUUAUUUCUUAUUAUGAAUUAUCAACAAUUGCAAAAUAAUUAAAAAUAACAUUUAAUAUAAAAAAUGCAAAUCGCUGUAGCCAACGCAUGCAAACGAUUAAUAUGGUUACCAUAAUGGCGUCUAAACAGAAAUUUCGCGAUGUAACCAUCCAUGUGAUAAUCACGGCGGCCAUAUUUUCAUAUAUUGAAAAGAAAUUGAAACAGUAGUUGAUUCAAUAUAAGUAACACUGAUACAAAAGCAUAUCAUGAAAAAAAUAUGUUAACACUAAGAAAUUUGUGAUAAAAUAAAAUCCAAAAUAAGAUCAAUAUUAGAAACUUACAGCGAAUUGCAAAAGAAUGAUGUGGCUAGUAUUUGAUAUAUAAACUAUAGAGGAACAUCAUGUUUAUAACAUGUGGUAGCAGGUAAAAAUAUCUACGAAAUAAAUAAACUAAGACAGAGCUGAAGUAGCAUACUCACAAACUUAACUCAAACAAACAUCUUACACCUAUAAAAGUACUGUACUAGUUCUAUUUAUGGUAAGCAACUAAGGAAAAAUUGACUUUUAGGGAAGAAAUAUUAACUAAAUUUGGCAACCAUCCAAUUUAUUGAUUAUCUUCUGCAUCUGUUACUUGAUCAAAAGAUCCCAUUUUCUCUGAUUUCAUGAUAAUUCCAACAUCUCACACUUCUGGAACUGUUGAUACAUCCUCUGCAUCAAAAUGUUCUUCAACGUAUAUAUCAAAAAAUUUGCUUUCGCGACAAGUUUAUGUUGAAUGAUAAAAUUUACUAAAUUUAAAAAAAAAAGAGAAAGUCAUGAAUCUUGCAAGAUACAUUGCCAAAUUAAGGGUUAAUGUGCACAUAAGAUGAAGUCUGAAGGAUUGCAUGAAGUUACAGAAGCAACUAGGAACAGAGAUACAUGAAGAGGGUUAGGGUUGAUCCUUGUAAUCAGUACAUAAUGUCACCUCAAAGGACCGAAGAGAAAAAUCCACUAGAUCCGAUGCUUGCGUUGAUUCAUUCUCAAAUAUUUGCAUAUUUAUUUAUUAUUUGUUUAUAAGCUAUAAUAAAGUUUCCGAAAAGAUCAUUUUGAAUA